rnacentral:rRNA from 1 species
UACGUAGGGUGCGAGCGUUAAUCGGAUUUACUGGGCGUAAAGCGUGCGCAGGCGGCCCGUUAAGACAGGUGUGAAAUCCCGCAGCCUAACUGCGGUCAUGCACUUGAAACUGGCGGGCUUGAGGGCAGGAGAGGGAAGUGGAAUUCCCGGUGUAGCGGUGAAAUGCGUAGAGAUCAGGAGGAACACCGAUGGCGAAGGCAGCCCCCUGGGCCUGUACUGACGCUCAUGCACGAAAGCGUGGGGAGCAAACAGG